rnacentral:ncRNA from 1 species
UGAACAUCACUUGGACAUGGUUGGUUAGUCGAUCCUAAGAGAUGGGGAAUCUGUGUAUCAAGUGUGCACUCUGCAUGAACAUCGAAAGAGAAUUGGGUUAAUAUUCCCUAACUGGGACAUGGUGGUGGAUGACAAUGUUAGGAAAUCUGGAGAUGUCAUUGAGGGCUUGGGAAGAGUUAUCUUUUCUUUUUAAUAACUUUCCCACCCUGGAAUUGGUUCAACUAGAGAUAAGGUCCAACAUUUGAAAGAGCACCACAUGUCUUGUGGUGUUUGGUUCCCCCUCGGUGGCUAUUGUAAAUAUGGUGAACUGAGUACCAUCCAUGCUUGAUCGUACUCAUAUCUACCUCCUUGGGUUU